rnacentral:rRNA from 1 species
UACGUAGGGUGCAAGCGUUGUCCGGAAUUAUUGGGCGUAAAGAGCUCGUAGGCGGUCUGUCGCGUCUGCUGUGAAAACUCGGGGCUUAACCCCGGGCCUGCAGUGGGUACGGGCAGACUAGAGUGCGGUAAGGGGACGACUGGAAUUCCUGGUGUAGCGGUGAAAUGCGCAGAUAUCAGGAGGAACACCGGUGGCGAAGGCGGGUCUCGUGGGCCGUAACUGACGCUGAGGAGCGAAAGCGUGGGGAGCGAACAGG